CCAAUCUCAGAGAGGGUUACCGGGUGUCUUACCCGCCACAAUAGUGCAUUUGUGUUUGUAUUCAUUGCUUCUCUUAGGUGCACAAAACGUCAGUCCAGUGCAUGUCCAUGGCUUAUAUGCUGCUCUUAAGUGGGUUCAUGGGAUAUUGCCCUAACUCCAGAAGCCUUUAGAUGCUGACAUAUGUCGGAAAAUGGUUGAAGCAGAAAAAAGAAGCAGAACCAGCCCAGUGAUGAAGAAAGAGCCAGUUUCUGUGGAACUGAUGAAGGAUAUUGUUCGAAAGUACGGGCAUGAAGAUGCUACGCUUAAAGAUUUGAGACUGGCAACUAUGUGUGUUUUAUUAUUCGCAGGGUUGAUCCGUGCAAAAGAAUUUCUUAUCAUUAGAGUGCUGGAUAUCACGUAGUUUGACGAUCAUUUCGUCAUUAAUGUGCCAGAAAGCAAAACGGACAUCUAUAGACAAGGUCAGCACGUAUUUAUGGCAAAAUCCAAUCCUGAAACAUGUCCUGGUGUUUUAAUAAACAGAUACCUCGCGCAGGCGAACAUCUCACUUAAUUAAUGACAGUGGCGUUCACUUAUUUAGGAAUCUAGUUUAUUUCAAAUUAGUAGAUAGUUACACUUUAGGAAUGAGAGUUGUGUCCUACACAAGAUUCCGCGAGAAUUAUAUUACAAAGAAUGUCUUAAAGAGUUAGGCUACGAUGAAAAGUUGUACGGAUUGCAUAGUUUUCUUGCUGGUGGUGCAACCACAAUUGCUAACAGUUUGACAGCUCCUAAUAAAGAGAGAUUGGUAGAACUAUAUCACCAGUGGAAACGGACAUUAGUGAAAACAUGUAUAUUAAAGAAGAUAAAGCAGAAGGCUUAUGGCAUGGUUUCUAAAAGCAUGGGUAUAUGAAUGUAAAUAAGUUUAACUGUGUGAAUAAAGUCGAGUGUGGGUACCGGUUUGCUAAGACAAGCCUAGCCUAUAAUAACAAACUAGUUUGGUUAUUGUAUUGUGUACAGAGGAAUGGCG